AGCGAACGCUGGCGGCAGGCUUAACACAUGCAAGUCGAGCGGGCAUCUUCGGAUGUCAGCGGCAGACGGGUGAGUAACACGUGGGAACGUACCCUUCGGUUCGGAAUAACGCUGGGAAACUAGCGCUAAUACCGGAUACGCCCUUUUGGGGAAAGGUUUACUGCCGAAGGAUCGGCCCGCGUCUGAUUAGCUAGUUGGUGGGGUAACGGCCUACCAAGGCGACGAUCAGUAGCUGGUCUGAGAGGAUGAUCAGCCACACUGGGACUGAGACACGGCCCAGACUCCUACGGGAGGCAGCAGUGGGGAAUAUUGGACAAUGGGCGCAAGCCUGAUCCAGCCAUGCCGCGUGAGUGAUGAAGGCCUUAGGGUUGUAAAGCUCUUUUGUCCGGGACGAUAAAGACGGAACCGGAA
rnacentral:rRNA from 1 species